CGAGCUGUGAUGAUGUCGACGCUACGUCUCCUUCCUGAUGACAUUUGUGAUGUUUUUAAGUCACUACCUCAUCUGAGCUUU